rnacentral:rRNA from 1 species
UACGGAAGGCAGCAGUGGGGAAUAUUGCACAAUGGGCGCAAGCCUGAUGCAGCCAUGCCGCGUGUAUGAAGAAGGCCUUCGGGUUGUAAAGUACUUUCAGUCGUGAGGAAGGUGUUAAGGUUAAUAACCUUAGCAAUUGACGUUAGCGACAGAAGAAGCACCGGCUAACUCCGUGCCAGCAGCCGCGGUAAUACGGAGGGUGCGAGCGUUAAUCGGAAUUACUGGGCGUAAAGGGCACGCAGGCGGUUAAUAAGUUGGAUGUGAAAUCCCCGGGCUUAACCUGGGAAUGGCAUUCAAGACUGGUUAGCUAGAGUCUUGUAGAGGGGGUAGGAAUUCCAUGUGUAGCGGUGAAAUGCGUAGAGAUGUGGAGGAAUACCGGUGGCGAAGGCGGCCCCUGGACAAAGACUGACGCUCAUGUGCGAAAGCGUGGGGAGCAAACAGGGAUUAGAUACC